rnacentral:tRNA from 1 species
GCGAGAGUGGCGGAAUGGCAGACGCGCUGGACUUAGGAUCCAGUUCCGUAAGGAGUAGGAGUUCGAGUCUCCUCUCUCGCA